rnacentral:rRNA from 1 species
AUUGAACGCUGGCGGCAGGCCUAACACAUGCAAGUCGAGCGGGGUUUUCGGACCUAGCGGCGGACUGGUGAGUAAUGCGUAGGAAGCUACCCGAUAGAGGGGGAUACCAGUUGGAAACGACUGUUAAUACCGCAUAAUGUCUACGGACCAAAGUGUGGGACCUUCGGGCCACAUGCUAUCGGAUGCGCCUACGUGGGAUUAGCUAGUUGGUGAGGUAAUGGCUCACCAAGGCGACGAUCCCUAGCUGGUUUGAGAGGAUGAUCAGCCACACUGGAACUGAGACACGGUCCAGACUCCUACGGGAGGCAGCAGUGGGGAAUAUUGGACAAUGGGCGGAAGCCUGAUCCAGCCAUGCCGCGUGUGUGAAGAAGGCCUUUUGGUUGUAAAGCACUUUAAGCGAGGAGGAGGCUACUAGUAUUAAUACUACUGGAUAGUGGACGUUACUCGCAGAAUAAGCACCGGCUAACUCUGUGCCAGCCGCCGCAGUAACAC